UUUGUUUGAUAUCUCGUGUCGGAAAAAAAUAUUGUUGCACAUUUCCGACCUGUUGUUAACAUCAUUAGCUUGUUUACGAUAUUACUCAAAUGUUGCUGUCACACUGAAUUUCCCGCGGAACCCACUCAAACUUUGAAACUUUAUAUAGUGAAACAAAAGAAUUGUUGAAUGUCCUAAAUUGUAUUUAACGGCUUAAUCUGAGUUGAGUGACAUAAUUCGGAGACGGGUACAGCCCUACAAAUAACUAAAGUAGGGACAGUAGCUUUAGACAGUUUUCAGAUCGCUUCACUUUUUGCACACUUUUGUUGUAGGUUUAAUUUCAAAUAGAUAAAAUUGCAGUUUUGCCCACCAAUAUGCAUAUAUUAAGCCAAAAUACAAAAAGUGAAAACAUGUUUUUAGAAUGUGUUGCAAAUGUAUUAAAAAUUGUAUUGAAGAAUGGAAAUAACUCAUUUACAGAAGCCAUUACAAAGUCUUUUAAACAUUUCCUCAAUGUUCCUCAACAUAGAAACACAGGAGUCUCAUAAAUCAUUUAACCAUACUGCAGGUUUACAUUCUGAACUCGUUUGAAGUUUUUUCAACUUUGUUUAUGAAAAACCAUGUUAUUUCUGUUAGUUUGAAAUGGCUGGCUCUAAAUACUGUAAUACCCAGUGACCAUAUCUAUGGUUGCUGUGGUAUAUGUAAUUUUGUCAUGUCAUGUAUAUUUAAAGUUGUUGCCUGUCUGUCAGCUCUGCACCAUUUAUGCUAACUGGUGAUAUUUGAGUUUAUUUGCAAAUAUCAGCUGUACUUUUUGUGAUUAAUAUCGGAUAACAAGACUUCAAGACACUCGUCAGGAUAAGAAAAUCAACUCACUGCUAUGUGAACUCUCCUCCUGCUGACUCUGCUAACUGGCCCAUGGAGGUUUUCAAAUUUAAACAUCAGAGAAAACAUCAGGGAAAAAGUGGAAAAGAUGAGCUCCAGCUACAAUCUCAACUCCAUGGACAAGUAAGACCAUCUCUGCAUCUGUCUCAGAGAAGGCACACAGGCAUAGGUGGAGAGAUCAAACACCAGCUAAGAUUCCAGUCACAAAGAUGAUCCCUGCCAAGCAUCCUGCUAGCCAAUGUACAGGCGUUGGAUCAGGGGUGUCAAACAUACGGCCUGUGGAACAACUGGCCCACCAAAGGACACACUAGCCGUUUCUCAAUACACAAGUUCAGCAGUUUGGACUUGUGGACUUGGCAAGUCCGCGCGAGAGUCCGGACUUCCCAAGAACGGGAGAACGGGAGUACGGGAGUACAGUCUUUUCUGCUUUUGGAACAGCAGCGAACUUGAUGAUGUCACCACCUCCGCUCGCCUUGGCUGUUGUACUGUGUUGUAUACAUGCAUUUAGAAUAAAACAAUAUAAACACAA